GACGAACGCUGGCGGCGUGCUUAACACAUGCAAGUCGAGCGGAAAGGCCCUUCGGGUACGUCGAGCGGCGAACGGGUGGAGUAACACGUGAGUAACCUGCCCUUCGGCUCUGGGAGUAGCUCCGGGAAACCGGGAAUUAAUACCGGAUAUGACCUCGGCCGACAUCGGCUGUGGUGGAAAGAUUUAUCGGCCAGGGAUGGGCUCGCGGCCUAUCAGCUAGUU
rnacentral:rRNA from 1 species